GUGACUGCGUACCUUUUGUAUAAUGGGUCAGCGACUUAAUUUUAGUAGCAAGGUUAACCGUUUAGGGGAGCCGUAGGGAAACCGAGUCUUAACUGGGCGUCAUAGUUGCUAGGAUUAGACCCGAAACCGAGUGAUCUAGCCAUGGGCAGGUUGAAGGUGAGGUAACACUUACUGGAGGACCGAACCGACUAAUGUUGAAAAAUUAGCGGAUGACUUGUGGCUAGGGGUGAAAGGCCAAUCAAACUCGGAGAUAGCUGGUUCUCCCCGAAAGCUAUUUAGGUAGCGCCUCGGACGAAUACUACUGGGGGUAGAGCACUGUUAAGGCUAGGGGGUCAUCCCGACUUACCAACCCUUUGCAAACUCCGAAUACCAGUAAGUAAUAUCCGGGAGACACACGGCGGGUGCUAACGUCCGUCGUGAAGAGGGAAACAACCCAGACCGCCAGCUAAGGUCCCAAAGUUAUAGCUAAGUGGGAAACGAUGUGGGAAGGCUCAGACAGCCAGGAUGUUGGCUUAGAAGCAGCCAUCAUUUAAAGAAAGCGUAAUAGCUCACUGGUCGAGUCGGCCUGCGCGGAAGAUUUAACGGGGCUAAGCUAUACACCGAAGCUGCGGCAAUGUGAAUUUAUUCACAUUGGGUAGGGGAGCGUUCUGUAAGCCGUUGAAGGUGCAUUGUAAAGUGUGCUGGAGGUAUCAGAAGUGCGAAUGCUGACAUGAGUAACGAUAAAGGGAGUGAAAAACUCCCUCGCCGGAAGAUCAAGGGUUCCUGUCCAACGUUAAUCGGGGCAGGGUAAGUCGACCCCUAAGGCGAGGCCGAAAGGCGUAGUCGAUGGGAAACGGGUUAAUAUUCCCGUACUUCUUAUAAUUGCGAUGGAGGGACGGAGAAGGCUAGGUGAGCCUGGCGACGGUUGUCCAGGUCCAAGUAUGUAGGCUGAUGAAUUAGGCAAAUCCGGUUCAUCUUAAGGCUGAGAUACGAUGUCGAGCUACUACGGUAGUGAAGUCAUUGAUGCCAUGCUUCCGGGAAAAGCUUCUAAGCUUCAGAUUAUAAGAAAUCGUACCCCAAACCGACACAGGUGAUCAGGUAGAGAAUACCAAGGCGCUUGAGAGAACUCGGGUGAAGGAACUAGGCAAAAUGGUACCGUAACUUCGGGAGAAGGUACGCUCCUAGC
rnacentral:rRNA from 1 species